rnacentral:tRNA from 1 species
GGGGCCUUAGCUCAGCGGUGAGAGCGGCUGCUUUACACGCAGCGGGUCGGAGGUUCGAAUCCCCCAGGCCCCA